rnacentral:lncRNA from 1 species
AUGGCAUCAAUCCAGGAGGCAGAGCUUGCAGUGAGCUGAGAUCGCACCACUGCACUCCAGCGUGGGCGACAGAGCGAGACUCCAUCUCAAAAAAAAUAAAUAAAUAAGAUGUCAAAGAGGCUGUGACCUGAGGAGAUUACCUGUAUUUGCGGGAGGGGUGGCAGGAACCUGCCAGGAGGGAACAGCAUGCACAGAACCUGGAGCCGAAUAGAACAUUCACACCUCACCUGAUAUGUUUGACGAAUUACAGGUUGUUCAGUCUGGCUUGGUCAGAGUGUGAGGAAAGGAGAAAUGAGACCACAGAUAAGAACCAGACUGUGAAGGAUCUUGCACUUGAUAUGAAAAGAGUUUUGCCUUUUUCCUGAGGGCAUCAGAAAGUCAUUAAGGUGGGUGUGGUGGCUUACACCUGUAAUCCCAGCACUUUGGGAGGCCAAGGCCAGUGGAUCACCCGAGGUGAGGAGUUCAAAACCAGCCUAAUUAACAUGGCGAAACCCUAUCUCUACUAAAAAUACAAAAAGUAGCUGGGCGUGGUGGCGCGUACUUAUAGUGCCAGCUGUUCAGGAGGCCGAGGCAGGAGAAUUGCUUGAACCUGGAAUGUAGAGGUUGCAGUGAGCCGAGAUCACACCGCUGCACUCCCAACUGGGCGACAGAGCGAGACUCCGUCUCAAAAAAAAAAAAAUUGCUGAGGAAAAGGAGCAAAAACGGAGGGAAACAUUGCAGGUACAGGAAAGAGAGACAGCAGUUGAUGGAGCUAGGGUCAAGAGAAGAGAGGAGGAAGUGGGAUCCAGGGCCCUUGGGGGAGAUUAACUUUCCAGUGGAUAAAAGAAGGAAGAGAUGGUUGCAGAUGUAAGUGGGUCUAUAGGAAGGGUUUCAGGGAAUGAGAUGAGCCAGGUUAUCUGCUUAGAAUGAGGGAAGAAAGGAGGUGAAGUUGAAGGUUGAGAGAGGAAUAGCUGGGCUCUGAACCUGAAUACAGACAGAGGUCUACCUGUGGCUUAACAUGUGCUAGCCUAAGCCACCAAGGAGCAGGACAGUUUUCAAGUAUAACCGAGUGGUCACGGGUCAGAAGCCAGGAGGUUGACAGUGAGGUCAAUGGGAUGGGGCUGGCCAUUUGGCAGCAGCAGUUCCCCAGGAGAGCUGUGUUGCCAUUGGGACAGAGGGUAGAGAGGAUGUCAGCAAAGGGGUGGGUGUUUACCUUUGGGAAAGGUAUUCUAGAGGGUGCAGUAGAGGAGCUUGAAGGAGAGGAAAGCAAAGAGAGCUUGGGCCACGGGAAAUAAAUUGGUCACGUAGAGAUGAGAUUAUGUAAAGACUAGCCGGGUAGAGAAGCUUCUGUUUUGAGAUGGUGCUUAACAGGGACCAGGGAUGAGAGGCAUGGUGGCAACCACAAGGUGGCCAAGACAAUUUGUCUCCAGUUGGAUGGGAUGUCUGUCUGGACAUAGUCUGUGCUUGCAUUGGUUGCAAUUCUGAUGGAUGGACAUAGAUACCUUGGCCUUGGACAAUUUGGGCUGACUGUGGAGCAUCUGUGGGUCCUGUGGCUGGCAGUGGAGGCGGUAAGGAGAUGACUAGCAGUGAGCUGCCCUGAGGCCCCCUUGUCUACCGCCUCUCGUCUCAAAGUCCUCAUCCUCCUGUACACAUGACUGCAUGGACAGCCAGUAGGUGCUUUCUUCUUCAGUUUCUUGAAACUUGAACAGUCAUCUGUUUUGCUGAUAGAUUAAGUUUGUUAAAACCCUGCCUUGUCCAAGGGCAGUGGUUCAUGCCUGUAAUCUCAGCACUUUGGGAGACCAAGGUGGGAGGAUCACUUGAGCCUAGGAAGUCGACUCUGUUUUUAUAAUUCUACCAUCCGCUCUCCACCAUGGAGCCAGACUGACCUUUGGAAAACAUCCCCCCACCCCUCACCGCCAAAAAAAACAAAGAAAAGAAAAACAUCCCAGAUCAUUUCAUUCCCCUGCUAGUGAUACUCCCGCAUGAGUGAUUUUCCUUUGUACUUUGAAUAAAAUUCCAACUCCUGCUGAUGGCACCCAAGGGCUGUGUGUAACUGGCUUCCGCCUGCCUCUCCAGCAUUGUCUUAGAUCAUCUCCCCACACUCCCCGUGUCGUGUACAUGCCGGCCUCCUUUUUGUUCUUGGUCUGUCUUACCUCAGGGCUUUUGCACAUGCUCGUCUCAGUGUCUGCCAAAUGUAUAGCUCGUUCCUUAUCCUUCAGGUCUGUUUCCAAAUGUCACUUCCUUGGAGGCUGUUUCUGACCAUCCUGUUUUAAAUAUGCCCCUAGUUACUCUAUCACAUUAGCUUUAUUUACUGUUUUAUUUGUAUGUUUACUUGUAUAUUGAUUGGUGCUCUCCUCAUUCACACACGCAAACUCUCAAAUGUAAAUUUCAUAAAGACAGGGACUUCCCCAUUCUUGUUCACUGCUAGCAGAAUAUCUGAAACUCAGAAUGCCCUCAAAUAUUUCUUUUUUUGUUUUUGUUUUUGUUUUUUGAGACGGAGUCUCGCUCUGUCGCCCAGGCUGG